GUUUAUUCAAGCAUAUUCAAAGAAUUAUCAGUACAUAUUUUUAAUCUGUUAACAUUCAAUUCAGAAUAAUGUAUAACUUAAAGCAAUGGUUAUUCUUUUAAAAAUAAGGUUAUUUUUCUCUACUGAACUGCUUAAUCUGUUAAGAAUAAUGAAUAAUCCAAUAUAAAAUUGAAGUGGUACCCAGCACAAUAUUACUACAUUUUUAAGUUAAUUUUAAAGAUAAUAUAUACAGUGGAGGCAGGUGGUGAGAAUGAUCAACACAUGACAACUUGUAGCAAUAGAACUAGAAUAGAAUAGUUUUCAAUCAGACAACCCUCUGUGAAGGAACAGGUGGAAGAGACAGUGCAAGAUGGGAAUUUCUUUCAUCCACAUGAGGCUGUCACCCAGGAGACUGAAAGGCAAAGGUAGUCAAGUGAUGAGCAGUUUGUUAGAAUGAGGACCCAAAACAUCUCAGGACCCAGCAUGAAAGAAGUGCAAAAGAUAUUUAGGUCUUUUUAAAUACAUUCAAUAGGCUUGAUUAAAAGGCUUAUCUUUAACAGAGUUGGUCCAGUCAUGUCUAGUUCCUCUUUAUUUUUCCUCUUUAUUCUUGACACAGUGAAGGACGUCCAUAUUCCUAUGGCCAUGUACACUUCAGAGCCUUCCAGGCAAGACCUGCCAUGGAAACAAAUACUGGAAACUAUUUAUUUGACAGGGGUGUAGGAGUAGUUUACAAGGCACCAGGCCAGAUGUUUUGAUUACAGUGGUAAACAAAAGUUAGGGGCCCCAUGAAUCCUGUUAUGGAGUUAAAUAGAUAACAAAUAUACAAAGUCAUCUCAGGUAGUCAGAAGAGUUUUGAAGGAGAAGCAAAGAAAGCACUUAGAUUAAUAAAAUUUUCAAGGGCUUAGCAUAGUGCAUAGCACAUAAACCCUUGAAAAAGGGGAACUAGUAAUUGGUAAGAUGAGGGUCUGGAAAGUGCAAAGGGAGAGUUUGAUCCUAUAAGAAAAAGUUUUGUUAGGUUAGGUCAUAGCAUUUUCUCAACACAGCCUAGACUGGAAUGCAAUUAAUUAGUGAAAAGACCAAGAGGAAAUCAGAUCAUCUCAAAAUCAUUUUGAAACAUAGCUGUGUUCCUGAAAUCUUGACUUUAAGGGUAAUGUGAUUGUAGAGGAAAGGACGGUUUCACAUUUGGCUUUCCCAGAUUAUCUGUAUGAGCACUCUUGAAUUGGCCUUUCCUGUUCAGUUUGAGUUUACAGUCAGAGCCCACCCUCCCCAACUCGGGGUAUUUGAACUGACACGUUGGAAGAGCCCAGACAAGGUGAUCCCUAGUGAAGAAGCUGUGUACUCCAGACUCCUCAGCUUAGGGUGAGCUUGGGGUGUUCUCAUUCAUUCUAACAUUGCCUUAGCUUUGUGUUGUCUCUUCCUAUUCCCCCUUUAACUCCUCACUAAAAAGAAAAUAUUUAGGGCUGGUGCUGUAGCUCAGUGCGCAGAGUGCUUGCCUAGCUUGCACAAGGCACUGGGUUCAAUCCUCAGCAUCACAUAAAAAUAAACACAUAAAAUAAAGGCAUUCUGUCCAUCUACAACUACAAAAAAAAAUUAAAAAAAUAUUUAGCAAAGAUGCAGAAGUUGAACACCAAUAGUCAACUACAAACUCCUAAUGAGUCAAUCAUCAAAUCAAAGUGGUCAAACCAUCAAGUCAGAAAAAAAAAGUUUUUUUUUUUUUUAGCUACAUUAAGAAUGAUUUUAGAAAGGCAGCAGAAUACAACAGACACUAGUAUGGCAAUAUGUAAAUCAAUGGAUGUGUAACUGAUGUGAUUCUGCAAUCUGUAUACGGGGUAAAAAUGGGAGUUCAUAACCCACUUGAAUCAAAGUGUGAAAUAUGAUAUAUCAAGAACUAUGUAAUGUUUUGAACAACCAACAAUAAAAAUUAAAAAAAAAAAAACAAAGAAUGAUUUUAGAUAUCCCUUGUGGGGGAAAAAAACAUACUUUGAUCUCUCAUAGUAUAUAGAACAUCAAUUCCAAAUGGAUCAUAGUCCUAAAUAUGAAAAAUAAAAUAAUGCUGCUCUAUAUUUCCUUCCCUUGGAAUAGACAAAGAUUUCUUAGAAAACAAAAAGCACUAGCUGUAAGAAUAAAAAGCUGAUAAGGUGGAUUUUGCUGCAGUUAAGAAGUUACCAAGGGCUGGGGCUGGGGCUCAGUGGCAGAGCGCUUGCUUAGCAUGUGUGAGGCGCUAAGUUUGAUCCUUAGUGCCACAUAAAAAUAAAUAAAUAAAGAUAUUGUGUCUAUCUACAGUAAAAAAAAAAAAAAGAAAAAGAACUUACCAAGUUGCCACUGAUUGUGAAAAAGCAAGCCAUCAUGUGGAGGAAAUGUCAAUACAUGCUUCCAAAGAAAAGAAGGCCAAUAUCGUGAACAGGCACAGAUUUUGAACUGGUGUUUCGCAGAUAUCCAGUUGGCUUAUACGUAUUUUGAUAGCCAAAUUUGUUCACUAUCCAUCGUCAAGGAAAUGUAAGUUAAAAUCCUAAAAUUUAACACCUAGAACGAUACAGUAAGUUGUCUUGAAGUUACCUGGUACUGGUAAGGUGGUUUAUCUGCUUCUCAUGGAGUUGUUCAUCUCUAAGAUGUGUGUGAAGGUCUGGGGUGCUGGAGUCAGCUCAGACCAGGCUCCAGAACAAGGGCCAGUUGUUAAAUUUUUAGGAAUUUUGUGAACCAGUGGUCAAACACAGCUACUAUUAAACCGUGAACAAUACAAGCAAGCAAUUACUUCGUGAUUACUAUAGUUUGUUAUGUUUUAGUGCUGUUGUUACCUCAUCUGUAGAAAGCUUUUAAUCAACCAUAGAAAUUGGCAUAUGAUAAACAUCAGAGCCUGGCCUGCCUGGAGAAUCUGGUGAAGCCUGGAAUUUUGUCUCUUGGAGAAACAGCUCCUCGAUGAUUCUGCGUGUGUCCUUCGGCCUUUCCCUUCGCAUUUGAAGUGAUGAUUAGGAGACGCACAGACCAUUCUGAGAUGAUUUCUGCAGGAUGAGCUCCUCAUGGCUCUGGCCAGGGCCUCGCCCUUGCUCUUCUGGAAGUACACUGCUAACCAGGUCUGUCUAGCUCAGGGACCAAGACCUGAAAUCUGUUGUGAGUCAGCCCUUCACAGUUGCCUGGGAGCCACCAUUCCUGGCCCUCUGCCACAACCAACCAAGGUAGACACCCUACCUGCCUCUGGCACCACUGCCUCAGGAGUGGUGCAACUCCCCUAGGCAACUCAAGAGUAUGUUUCAGAAGUGUGAAUAGGAAGACUCCAAGCUGGAGGUGACUCAUCUAACCUCCCUGGGAGGGAGGCAGGAAGGGUGGGCUUGAAAUCCAUCAGUCCCUGGACCUUGCCAAGAGAGCCUCCAAACAGUGCAGUUGGUGUGAAUGACCAGGCUUCUGUGGCAGGGCACUUCAAAGAGAAUCUUGCUCCUUUCAAUAAGCUUUUUUGUGUCAAACAGAGGUGUCAUUGUUUUCAGCAAAUACCUUGCAACUCAAUAAAUAAAUACCAUUCUGUUUUCUAACAUUCCCCCCUCCGUUUUUCACAAGUUAUGUAUGAAGGCAUUUUGCUUAAUUCCUUCAGUC
rnacentral:lncRNA from 1 species